GGACUACUCGGGUAUCUAAUCCUGUUUGCUCCCCACGCUUUCGCACCUCAGCGUCAGUACCGGACCAGAGAGCCGCCUUCGCCACUGGUGUUCUUCCCAAUAUCUACGAAUUUCACCUCUACACUGGGAAUUCCGCUCUCCUCUUCCGGACUCCAGCAAUCCAGUCUUGGAGGCCAUUCCAGGGUUGAGCCCCGGGAUUUCACCCCCAACUUGAACCGCCGCCUACGUGCGCUUUACGCCCAGUAAUUCCGAACAACGCUAGCCCCCUCCGUCUUACCGCGGCUGCUGGCAC
rnacentral:rRNA from 1 species